UUAACGGAGAGUUUGAUCCUGGCUCAGGACGAACGCUGGCGGCGUGCCUAAUACAUGCAAGUCGAGCGGACAGAAGGGAGCUUGCUCCCGGACGUUAGCGGCGGACGGGUGAGUAACACGUGGGCAACCUGCCCCUUAGACUGGGAUAACUCCGGGAAACCGGAGCUAAUACCGGAUAAUCCCUUUCUCCACCUGGAGAGAGGGUGAAAGAUGGCUUCGGCUAUCACUAGGGGAUGGGCCCGCGGCGCAUUAGCUAGUUGGUAAGGUAACGGCUUACCAAGGCGACGAUGCGUAGCCGACCUGAGAGGGUGAUC
rnacentral:rRNA from 1 species